AUGGCGGCCGCCUGGGCCUCCAGGCCCGCUUCUGCGGAGGCCGUGGCCACCCGUCUGCUGUGGCUCCUGACCGUCACCACGAGACCUUAGGCGAUUCCCACCGCCGGGGACAAGGAGACAUUUAAGUGCGAGGACCUCAAAGUGGGACAAUAUAUUUGUAAAGAUCCCCAAAUAAAUGAUGCUACACAAGAACCAGUUAACUGUACAAACUACACAGCUCAUGCCCAAUGUUUUCCAGCACCCAACAUAACCUGUAAGGAUUUCAGUAGCAACGAAACACAUUUUACUGGAAAUGAAAUUGGUUUUUACAAGCCUAUAUCAUGCCGAAAUGUAAAUGGUUAUUCAUACAAAGUAGCAGUUGCAUUGUCUCUUUUCCUUGGAUGGUUGGGAGCAGAUGGAUUUUAUCUUGGAUACCCUGCCUUGGAUUUAUUAAAGUUUUGCACUGUAGGAUUUUGUGGAAUUGGGAGCCUAAUUGAUUUUAUUCUUAUUUCAAUGCAGAUUGUUGGACCUUCAGAUGGAACUAGUUACAUUAUAGAUUACUAUGGAACCAGACUUACAAGACUGAGUAUCACUAAUGAAACAUUUAGAAAAACACAGUUAUAUCCAUAGAUACUUUAAUAAACAGAGUGGAGUCUCCUUGAUUUUAACAGAGAAUACCCAGUAUGUGGAUUUCCAGAUAUUCCUUUUUCUUCGUCACACACCACUGGAUGGGUUCCAUCUGAUCAUUUUUUUUCAUGUCAUCAUUUUUGAUCUAGUUAAAUGUAUAUUCUCUGGGCACUAGCAGCUCACACCUGUAAUCCUAACUACUUAG